rnacentral:rRNA from 1 species
AUUGAACGCUGGCGGCAGGCCUAACACAUGCAAGUCGAACGAGUGGCGGACGGGUGAGUAAUGUCUGGGAAACUGCCCGAUGGAGGGGGAUAACUACUGGAAACGGUAGCUAAUACCGCAUACCAUCGGAUGUGCCCAGAUGGGAUUAGCUAGUAGGUGGGGUCACGGCUCACCUAGGCGACGAUCCCUAGCUGGUCUGAGAGGAUGACCAGCAACCUUGUAACUGAGACACGGUCCAUACUCCUACGGGAGGCAGCAUGGGGGAAUAUUGAACAAUGGGCGCAAGCCUUAUGCAGCCAGGCCGCGUGUAUGAAGAAGGCCUUCGGGUUGUAAAGUACUUUCAGCGAGGAGGCGUUACUCGCAGAAGAAGCACCGGGUAACUCCGUGCCAGCAGCCGCGGUAAUAC